rnacentral:rRNA from 1 species
UGCAUCGGAACGUGUCCUGAAGUGGGGGAUAACGCAUCGAAAGAUGUGCUAAUACCGCAUAUUCUCUGAGGAGAAAAGUAGGGGAUCGAAAGACCUUAUGCUUUUGGAGCGGCCGAUGUCUGAUUAGCUAGUUGGUAAGGUAAUGGCUUACCAAGGCAACGAUCAGUAGUUGGUCUGAGAGGACGGCCAGCCACACUGGGACUGAGACACGGCCCAGACUCCUACGGGAGGCAGCAGUGGGGAAUUUUGGACAAUGGGCGCAAGCCUGAUCCAGCAAUGCCGCGUGAGUGAAGAAGGCCUUCGGGUUGUAAAGCUCUUUCAGUUGAGAAGAAAAAGUCGUGACUAAUAAUCAUGAUUCAUGACGGUAUCAACAGAAGAAGCACCGGCUAACUACGUG